GAAAAAAUUUAUGAUAUUCUAAAUGAUCAAGAUUCACUGGAAUUCAAUGAUCAGAAUUAAAAUAGAUAAUACCUCGCGUACGUAGACGUGGAGUUAACCCAAGCAACAUUUACCUUUGGAGCUGGUGACCAUUAUAUAAUCUAAUCAAAGGCUUUUGAAACUCUGACGAUGGCCGUUUUAAACCUCGGAGCCACUCCAUCUGCAACAUUUAUCAUGGCUCUAUAAACCGAGUUAUUCCUUGAUUUGAUGAGGUGGGAAGGCCCAGUGCUUGCAGCUGACAACGGAAAUUGCAAUGGGCAGGCAUCCCCUUCUGGGAGGUGCAUUUCGUGUGCUAGCAUACAAACGCAUGCCUCCAUACCCUCAGGUGAAGCCAUAAAGAGUAGCACGCCUUUAUCUCCCUUUCCCAGGAAAAACUUCCCCUCUGCCCACUUAAUCUUCACAUGUUGCCUUCAAUGCAGCGCCCCCACAGUUCUUGCACACCUACGCUAUCCCGCCAUACCGCCAUCGUGCCAACUUUUUCAAUAAAUGGAUUAACAUCUAAUAAUAACUCACUAAAAACAUCCUAACUACUCUGAAUCCUAAAACACUCUGACCAUGACUGAGUAAAGAGAUCUUCCCAAUAGAUUUUGUUGACAUCACCCUGUCCUCUCCUCCCUUCCUACUGAAGCAAUCUUUGGAACUGCAGCAGAAGGUGUCACUGAAUCCUCUCUCCUCUCCAUCCUUCUGUUUCUGUCCCAGGCGCUGGCUUUAAUGGAAAAAAAUUAGUGGAGGUACCCUUCCUCGGAGCUGUAGCUGAGAGCAGCUGCACAAGAACAGAGAAUCCUAAUGACUUUGGCGGAGAUGAUCAUUGCUGAGAGAAGGGAUGGAGGUGGGAAUGCCAGAAAUGACCAGGGGAGAGGAUGGGGAGGAGGGCCCCCCACACAAAAGCCUGCACCAAAGGAAAAGGGAGGGAAGCAUCAACCUAGUUUAGUCUCCAUUAUUUGGUUAUAUUUCGGGAUUUGAGGAAGAAGUUACCUGCGAUUUGUCAUUUGGCCAUGGCCAUGGAUGGUCUAUGUGCUGUCAUGCAUCCAAGGGAGGUUGGUUCUCUGAGCUUUACUUCUUUACUGCUCGCUUUUAUUUUCUUCAAUUAAUAUAUGUCAUUUGGAACUCUUUUUCAUGAAGAAAGAAACUAAUUAUUUGCCUUAUGAUAUCUUCUACUGUGCAUUGAUCUUUAGUUACGUAGCAAGCAUAUUGCCUACACCCGCUGAUACUUUGUUCCUAUGGAACUGGAAAUUAUGUUUUUUGUUUCUUUUUAUAGGUUCAUAUCGGUCACUCUCUCUUGUAUUCAUCUUCUCGUAAGCUGGAAGUUUGAAAAAGAUCUCUGAGGCAAUAUGCUACCUUACAUCACCCUAAGAACGUAACUAUUUACUUCUGUAAUCUUGGCAUAUUUUUAUGAAUUUAUCUUCAUGCUUAUUUUUUUCUUUUCUUUAAGAACUAUUAAUAUGUGAAGGUUGUGCAUCUUUCUACUAUUUAAUGCUCAUGUCUGGAAAUAUAUUUAGUAUAUACAUUUGUACAUGUCUCUAAAUAUCUCAGAUGUUAUUGUUUCCCUAUCAUUUCUGGUAUCUUUCUUUGCCUGUUGAGCAUGAAUAGGUUUGCAGGUGAUGAUUUGGGGGCUCAUCUUUUCGAUGUUGUAAUUAACAUUUUUUCUCCUUAGAUAUUGCAGCUUUUGAUAUUAUGUUCUCAAUUAGCUGAUAUUGUUUCAGGUGAAUAUCACAUGACAAUGGAUAUGUAGAACAUGACUAUAAGAAUCAUCCAUUUGGUUGUUUGUUAGUGGUGUGUCCAUAUGCUUCUGGUUCUGCAGGUGUAGACCUAGUAAGUGUGAGAAUUCGUGACUUGGAACACCUUUACUGCUCAUUCUGAUUCUAAGAGGAAAAUAUACAUUGGAAGAUAUCAGAAGCAUCAUGACUGCGGCACAUUUUAAACCUCGCUAGCUGAAAGUGCUGUCUGAUCUGUAGUUGAAUCUCUUUAUCUUGCUUGGCAAUUGGUCAUCAUUGAGAGAAUAGGCAGUUAUUUAUCAAGAAUAGAGGUGAGGAUUACCUUGAUCUUGAAUUUUCCUUCCUAUAUGUUAUGAUUUGUCAAUAGUAUGAUGUAAUCUCAGUGCCACUGAUAUGAGGACUUAAUGAAAGAUAAGAGACUCUGAAACAAGUAUAGUUCAGUUGGUCCACAGCACUGUUCUAUUAACAGUUCCUCUGAAGUAGUCUGCAGUUUUCCAGCAUCCCGUUGCAAUGGAGAAUGAUGUUUUUAAUGCCUCACAACAAACAACAGAUCAUAAUCAGAUGGACAUCGAUGCAGUGACAUCUGAUAUAUUUUCAGGCCCAUUCAUACAGUCAGGUAUGAAAGAUUAUGACAGCCAUGAGCAGAUGAUAUGUGGGAAUAUUGUGCACCCAACAUUGCCAGAAGAGGUGACGAACGAUCCUUAUAUAACAAACCAUGGUGAUAUCUCCGAUCAUGCAUUAAGAGGGAAUGCUUCUUUCGAGGAUUCUAUUGGGAAAACUGGCUGGUGGACUGGAGCUUCUGUGUCUGCUACUUCACUUGCUUACCUUUUGUCUGGCUCCCAUAGUUUGCAGGAAGAUCUUACCUGUUCAGGUGUUUCAUCAGCAUUGCCACUGGAUGAGAUCAGAUCCUUAUCAUCCAGCGACUGUUGCGAUACUUUUGGUCCACAGGAUGUUGCAAGUUUUUCUAGAUCAAAAAUUGAUGACAGUAUGAAUGGCAAACUUGGUUAUGGUUGGAAUUGUGAUGAAACUCAAGAUCAUCGAGUUCCUUCCAGUAGAACAAGCAUUGUUCCCCCAUCUUACCAUGUCCAAGGAUGCUCAGAACCUGGCUGGGAUUCCAAUUUAUAUAUCAUCACAUCUGAUCAUUUACCAAGUUCUUGUGUGCCUAAUAAUGAGCUGUCCCUCACACUUGGCUCCUACCAGACAUCUAUGAUGAACAUGCUUAAUGUUCCAGAUCAGUGCUCAAAACUAAGCUGCUCCAAGUUAACUCAAGUUAUAUCAAAGGAUGGUGAAAACCCAGUUGCUAGUGAAUUGCGGGAUUCCUUUCGUGUUUUCAGUUCUUCACAAAAUGUCAGGGUGAGAAUGGCAUUGGGAGUUGCACAAACCUUUACUGCUGGCGAGGAGCUAUCUCUGUACCAUAAUUCUUCUCCCUUCUAUUUUCCUUGUGCUCUUUUAGGAUCAAGAUAUCUCCGCGUAGGUCAACAAAUACUCACUGAAAUUGCAAGCUAUGCAAAGCUGGAUGACUUGCUUAGUGGGAUUAAGGGUGAGGCAAGGAUGUCCUUCUCUUCUAGCUGUUCCAAUGAAAGAGGAAUUAUAAGUGUGGGCUGUGAUAAGUUCCCACUUUCUUCUGGUGGAACCAAAUCUCGGGGCCAUAUGGACCGACAGCAAAGGCUGGAAACUGAAAAAGAGAAGUCUCAGCUGUUAGUGAUGCUUCAAAUGAUUGACUGUAGAUACAAUCAGUGCUUAGACCAGAUCCAGAAUGUGAUGUCUGCAUUUAAUAAAGCUACCGAGUCAGUAACUCCGCAGCUGCAUGCCCGCUUUGCCCUUCAUACAAUCUCUGUGAUUUAUAAAAACCUGAGGGAGAGAAUUACCAGCAGGAUUCUUUUGACUGGUCAACGACUAAGCAGCAAAUGCACCAAAGAACUGGAGAAAACCUUGGAAUCUUCCUUGAUCCAGAAACAAUGGACAUUGCAGAAGAUGAAGAAAGAUCAGCAAUCUUGGAGACCCCAGAGGGGCUUGCCUGAACAAUCUGUCUCGGUUUUACGAGCGUGGAUGUUUCAGAAUUUUCUUCACCCGUACCCAAAGGACGAUGAGAAACAUUCGCUCGCAUUAAAAAGUGGAUUAACAAGGAGCCAGGUAUCGAAUUGGUUUAUAAAUGCACGGGUUCGUCUAUGGAAACCCAUGAUAGAAGAGAUGUAUGUGGAAUUCAGUAAACAGAAUUGGAAUGGAGUUACAGGUGGGGGUUGAUUGCAGGAGCCAUCAAACAGUCAGCAGAAAAUCCAAAUGAAUCUAAGUACGUUGAUUUUGUUCAUCAUGCAUACUAUAACUAUCAGAUAGACGGUGCAUGCUGAUUCACCCUAUCCAAAAUAGGGAUUAUGGGAUGCAAUGAUGCUUUCAGCGAAUGGGGGAAAUCUUUUGUGGAGUGAUCAAUUGUUCAGUUUGGUAUUUUCUGUUGAUGUUUGGAAUGUGUGCAUGAAACGUUUUGUGAGAAUGUCCAUGACAUGCUAGUUCAAAUAAAAGUUUAGUAGCUCAAACGUAUUCUGCAUGGAAAUGAAGGCCUUGAUUUUGAUGUCAUGUUGUUAUGGUCCAUGCUCAAUAAUACCCUUCUGUUAUAAAAUCAUAAAACAUGAAAUGGGAUCUAUUGCCUUUUUUUUU